CCCUUAGAUGUUCUGGGCCGCACGCGCGCUACACUGACUGCUCCAACAAGUUACCUGGGCUGACAAGCAUCCGGGAAAUCUUGCAAAGGCAGUCGUGAUGGGGAUAGAUUCUUGUAAUUUUUGAUCUUCAACGAGGAAUUCCUAGUAAACGCAAGUCAUCAGCUUGCAUUGAUUACGUCCCUGCCCUUUGUACACACCGCCCGUCGCAUCUACCGAUUGAGUGGAGAGGCAAAAUCUUCGGACCGUGACGCUUGGGAGUCAAAUCUCGGGCUGUCGUGGGAAGUGGAUUAAACCUUUCUAUUUAGAGGAAGGUAAAGUCGUAACA
rnacentral:rRNA from 1 species